GUUCUCACUUCAGCAGCACAUAUACUAAAACUGGAACGAUACAGAGAAGAUUAGCAUGGGUCCUGCGCAAUGAUGACACGCAAAUUCGUGAAGUGUUCCAUAUUUUU
rnacentral:snRNA from 1 species